AUUGAACGCUGGCGGAAUGCUUUACACAUGCAAGUCGAACGGUAGAGGGGGCAACCCCUCGAGAGUGGCGAACGGGUGAGUAAUAUAUCGGAACGUGCCCAGUCGUGGGGGAUAACGUAGCGAAAGUUACGCUAAUACCGCAUGAGAACUGAGGUUGAAAGCGGGGGACCUUCGGGCCUCGCGCUACUGGAGCGGCCGAUAUCAGAUUAGGUAGUUGGUGGGGUAAAGGCCUACCAAGCCGACGAUCUGUAGCUGGUCUGAGAGGACGACCAGCCACACUGGGACUGAGACACGGCCCAGACUCCUACGGGAGGCAGCAGUGGGGAAUAUUGGACAAUGGGCGAAAGCCUGAUCCAGCAAUGCCGCGUGAGUGAAGAAGGCCUUCGGGUUGUAAAGCUCUUUUACCCGGGAAGAUAAUGACUGUACCGGGAGAAUAAGCCCCGGCUAACUCCGUG
rnacentral:rRNA from 1 species